GGUGGAUGCCUGGGCUCGGGAGCCGAAGAAGGGCGUGGCAAGCUGCGAUAAGCCAGGGGGAGGCGCACGCAGCCGUUGAUCCCUGGAUCCCCGAAUGGGACCUCC
rnacentral:rRNA from 1 species